AGGCGUGUUAUUCAUGACACUUUCUUCCUCUCUGGUGGGGCUCCAGCCAGGCUGGGACCUGCCACUGGCUCUCCAGCACACAGACCUUCAGCCAGAGGAGACUCUGGCAGGGGGCAGAUGGGGAACGCAGCCCCCAGCACCUCCUCUGCCUUGCAAAGUCCUGUACUGCCUUCUGCAGCAUCCUUGCCUGGGUUGUCCUGAGGUUUGUGGGGGGAGCGCAGAUGCUGACACAUGUUCUGCAGCUGGAUCCCCCAACCCAGCUGUCCCCAGGCCCUGGGGACAGGAUGUGCUGCAGAGCUUGCUCUGAGCUACCUUGGUGUGUGCUGCCCGCAAUGGGUCACUGCCACAUUAGCACACGAGAUGUCACCAGGUGCUCUGUCUCCUUACAGUUGGAACCCCCAGGCAGGUGCAGCCCCACCAUCCCUGGUUGCAGCUUUGGGGCACUGGAAGGCCACGGGGCCAGAUGAAGCAUCGUGUGUAAGCGGUUCUGGAGGAGAUAGGCUGGCAGGAGCUGGUCCCCACCACCCCAGUAUCCAGCUUCUCAGUAUCCAUCCUGUGGUGAGGUCACAGACUCCACACUACAUCAGAAAGAGGAAGGAGGAUGGUUUCACUAAAGGAAAGCAGCUCUCUGCAGCAAGACAGUCUCCUACCACCCAGGGAGACCCUCACCAGCAUCCCCAGCCUCCGGAGGGGAUGGGAUGCUCCCUGGCACCCCCCUGCAGCAGGGAUCUCAUCCACAACCUGUGGGAUGUGGCAAGAGCUGGCCAGGGAGCACAACCUGUCUCCUUGCCAAGACGUCAGUGCUACAUGACAGUGUGCCAUCACCACCUGCGUCACCACAACCUGGUGCUGUCAUCAUAACCAGGUGCUUUCACAGCCUCCCAGGCCAAAGGAUGUGGCUCUUCAUGCGGUUGCUCGCUCUCCUGAAGAUGCCAGAGGUGGAGAAUGCCAUGGCUCUGGUCUCUACGCCUUGCCAGGGCGUGAAGGGGUAUGCAGCAUCCAAGCACUUAGUGGGGGGACGUGCCAGACCUGAUGCCCCGCAGCUCCCCACCCUUCAGCCGGUCAUCUCUUCAUCAGUUCCCAGCGGGCUGACCGAGAGCAGUAGCGGGGUGGCCUGGAAUGAAAGCCACCACUGCCGGCUGCUGGCUGGGCUGGUGCCCGACCAGUUCCAGAUGUGCCGCAGGAACCUGGAGGUCAUGCACAGCAUCGUCCGGGCUGCCCGCCGGACCAAGAGCGUCUGCCAGAAGACCUUCGCAGACAUGAGGUGGAACUGCUCCUCCAUCCAGCAUGCCCCCAGCUUCGGCCCUGACCUGCUGAAAGGAACCAGGGAAUCCGCCUUUGUCUACGCCCUGGCUGCCGCUGCCGUCACACACUCCAUCGCCCAAGCCUGCAGCUCAGGAGAGCUCCCUCUCUGCUCCUGCGGCUCUGUCCCCUCCGAGGUCCCCGGGCUGGACUUCAGAUGGGGUGGCUGUGGGGACAACCUGCACUACGGCCUCCAGCUUGGCUCCGCUUUUGCUGACAGUCCUUUAAAAUCCAGCAAGUUGGGGACACAAGCGCUCAAGGCCAUGAAUCUGCAUAACAACGUGGUGGGCAGGCAGGUGCUGAGUGACUCCCUAGAUACCAAGUGUAAAUGCCAUGGUGUUUCAGGCUCCUGUUCGGUGAAGACCUGCUGGAAGGGACUGCCAAACCUAGAUGAAAUUGCCUCUGACCUCAAGUCCAAGUACCUGGCAGCCGUCAGGGUGACCCACCGGCUCAUAGGGCCCAGGAAGCAGCUGAUACCCAAAGGAAUGGAUGUCAGGCCAGUGAAAGAGACGGAUCUAGUUUAUCUCAUCAGCUCUCCCGACUACUGCACACUGAAUCUCCACCUGGGGUCUCUGGGGACACAUGAUAGGCAGUGCAACAAGACCUCCGUGGGCAGUGACAGUUGCAACCUGAUGUGCUGUGGCCGUGGCUACAACACCUACACGGAGGAGGUGGUGGAGAGGUGUCACUGCAAGUAUCACUGGUGCUGCUACGUGAUGUGCAAGAAGUGUCAGCGGAAGGUGGAGAGAUACGUCUGUAAAUAAUGCCAGAGGCGUCACGGCAGGUGGGAGGACUCUUGCGCUGGUAUCCUCUGGGGCACAGCUGGAGACAGAACAUCAUCGCAAGGGAUGCGCCGACCUCCGGCAAGAAGGGGGCUAUGCGGGAAGCCUGGACGCUCGCAUUACCACAGAAGACCUCAAACUGAGAGAUGCCGGGAAGCCUAAGACCGGAGGCCGACCUCUGCUCCAUCUCUCCAGAGCAGGACAAAGGGCUGCCCUCCUGCAGCUGGCGGGGAGUGUCCAGCCCUCUGUCUCCAGCUGGGGACAAACCAUCUAUCACUCCGCAUGCAGCACAGCCCCUUUUUUCCAGGGGUGAAUGGGGACCCUGGGCUGCCAUUGUCUCUUUGCAGGAGGUUUCUGACAGUGGCCUGAACGCCAGGAGUGAUGGAUGGGAAGGGGGGUAGAGACUUGUCUGUUGGGAGAAGGCCACAGGGAAAGAAAGCUGCUUUGGGUGAGGAGGUCAUGGGCAGCUGCCCUGGGGACAGGUUUCUGCUGUGGGCUCACCCAACUCCUCAGGGGCAAAUACUGGUCCAGCACCCUUUGCAACAUCUGAAAUGAAACCCAAGCUUGGACACAGGCAGAAGCAGUUAUUGCUGCAGGAGACAGAAUCAUCAAUCCUCCCCAUGACCUGUAUGGAGAUUGCUGCUGCUCUCAGUGACGGUCCACGACAGCAGACAGACCUAGGGACAGGAGCGGGCCCGGAGGCUGCCAAUACAGGGCAGCAUGGCAAAACUGCACCUAGAAGCCUUGUAUUAACAAAGCAGCCAUAGCAGCAGAGUAGCUUCUGCCCUCUGGGCUAGUGUUGGAGGUGGGUGCUCGCUCAACUUGUGGCAUACCCAUGGCUUGUCCUUCCUGCCCCUUCUUUCAGACCACUAAGGUCUUCAGCCCAGUCCUUCCACCCCCUUAAUACCAGAUGUGCUGGGACUCUGGCCGGGAGGGAGGACACAACUCCAGGACCCUAGGGAAAUAAGAAUGAACCUUUAGUCUCUACACUUCAUCUGGCCACAGAGGAAGCAAGGCUGUAAGGAGAGCAUAAAGCCCAGUAUCCAUACCCUCACGGGCAGCAGCAGGGGACCGGUUCGGGUUUAACUCUUUCUGCUGCUCAUUGGCCCAGGUUUGCCUUUAAUUACAGAUAAUCUGUCAGCCUCAGGUGCCGUGCACAUAAGGAAGGUUUCUAUCCCCUGCUUCCUCAGGUCUCUGACCAGCCAGCAAGGAAUCUGGCUUCCUGGGAUUCAGGCUGGAAACAGAGGCAGUCCAGGAUUAUUUCUGUUCCUUUUGAAUGCAGGCUGGACUAGCCAAGCGUGCAUGUGUGAACAGCAAGGAGCUGGGAGCCAGGGAAGGGGGCUCUCAUGGCCCCCCAUUUCCCCUAGAAUCUGGCAAAGCGCUUGCAUGGGAUAAGAGAUUCAUGUUCGUGCAGUCUUUCAAGAGGAAGGAUGAGAAGGCACUGAGAAGAAACCAUGGCACAAAGAGGACAGGUAAACAUGAUGGAAAUCCUAGAGCAAUUUCCUGCAGCUCACACCAUGACCUAGAGACUCUGGUGGCUUUGCGUGCGCCUUGGUUUAUUUGUGGUUUGCAUUGAAUGGAGUUGGCCGCCUUCAGCCCCGAGUCCAGCUGUACAAUUACUCAUUUCCAUAUUCAUUCAAUCAUUUUUAAUAGCCUCUGCUGGGUCACGGAAUCAAGUCAUGAGCUUUUAUUGUAAACGGUCCCCUCCACUUAAUGUGCUCCAGGUUUCUCUGUUAACAAUGAAUAAGAGCCAAGAGUCAAAGGUGGCUUGAGACAAGCCUGGGAGCUGGAAGUUGAAAUGCUCAGGGGUGAAGCAUAUGCUCACAUAGUUAACCAAGUGAGUUAACUAUCAUUAUCAGUUGUUAAUGUGCUAUUGACUUGAUCUGGCUGCUGACAUCUAGCCUUCCCAGAGUGACAGUAAAGCCACAGCUGCGAGGCUUCCAUCACAACUGCCAAAGGCCAAAAAGCUAUCUCAAGUUUUUGUUUUAAAAUGCAAUUAGGGGGUUAGUCACUGGCAUUCCUCGGAAAAGGGAGUCUUCAGGGGCCAGGCUGCAAAAUAGCUGCAGUUGCUGUGUCCAGAGCCAGGCUGAGCCCAGAUGUGAUGCAGGUACUUAAUUAGGAGGAUUGCUUAAAUACCUUCCCUACAGCCACCUUGCAGUGCAUCACCAGAUCAGAGGGAGGUGAAACCAGGAAGGGCUGUGAACUCUGCACAGCAUUGCAAAACUAGCUGGUGAGGAAAAAAAAAAAAAAAAAAGACAAAACAGGGGAAGGAUCUUGUGGAGUGAGAGAUUCAGCCAGGAGGGUGGGAAAUGUGAUUUGCAUUUGGUAACUACAAACACACAUAGCCUGGGGUAGAGGAGAGGAGCCACAAUAGCUAGGAAUGCCCUGGGGAGAUGUCGUGAUCCCCUCCUAGAGAGGUUCCAUUUGAAUUUCUGCCUCGGAAAAGGCAGGGUCAAGUGCUGAAUAUGCAGAGUCCUCUACCCUCCCUCCUCACAUCUUGACUGCGAGCCCAACCGGGAAGAGCUGGGGAAGGACCGGAGGGGUCAAUCAGUAGCGAGGACCUUGGGCUCCGUUUGUCUCCUGCAGGAAAUCGGAAAGCACUGUAAUUAGUUGAAGGGUGCAAAGGGUCAGGCUGGCAGGAGGGACCAUUGUGGGGAGGUGACAGUUAUGUGACAAUGCUCUGAGUGGGAGGUGGUGUAAUCUGGGCUCACACCUGGAUUUACCAGGGUUGUGAGAUCUGCUGGACUGGAAGUGUCUCCUAGGGACCGAGACCCAGAGCAAGGCAGUCAGCAUCAGGCUAUGGAUCUGGAGGGAAUAAACACUGCACUUGGCCCCAGGGAUUGAGGAGAUCCAUCUGGCUGGAUGCAUUUUCUCUCUCUAACCCUGCUUGGACAGAAAAGCUAGCGGGAAGGUGCCAGGGGAACACAGAGACCCAUCCCCCAGACCAGACUAGCACAAGCACCCCCUGACUUAAAAAGAUGGGAAAACUUGGACCCUGAUAUCACCCUCCGGUGGCUUCUAGCACCAGUCAGUGCAACACUGCCAAAGAAAUUGGUGCAGGAAGGCUUACCUCUAACCUCUGCACCCUUGCUUCCACCCCAAACAUCCCCAGCUUGGGCAGAUAGCCCUUCAGGACCUGAAUAAACCUGGGCAAGGCUGGUAGCAGUGUCCCUGAAACCAAGAACAUCUCUGUAACAGCUGUGGCUUUUCAGCCCUUCAGACACUUCCUCACGUGUUUCUUUUGCCCCACUUUCACGAUCGGUCCCCUCCAGACUGUGGUAGGCUGCUGUCAUUACCCUCUGCUUCACAAGCCCUCGCCAGGCUCACUGCUAAUGUGAUGGAUCUACCUCUUUGACUUUCCUGUCAUUAGCCAUUUCUCCCAAUGUCUUGUGGCUUUUUGUUUAUCUGUCUCUCUGGGAAUGAGGCUCCCCAGAGCUGAAUUCUCCAUGGCCAUGGCAAAAGUCUUUCACUUUCUGGUGCUGUGAAUUGACAUGGGAGACAUGGCUCUGAAAAUGGCUUGCCUAGAGAAGAAAACCAUCCCUCCACGUGAAAUGUGGCGAGAACCAGGCAAAGGGUUUGUUUUGAAAGCCUCCUCUCUCUUACCGCCUGACUUUUAAUUUGGGUUUGAAAAGAGUAACGCUGGUAUGAAUGUGAUCAUCUCCUGCUGGUUAGACUUGUGCAGACAAUGAAGUCUGGAGAAAGGCGAGUGAUUUUCAUGGACUCUUGACUUUGCUGCUAAAGCACCAGGGUUUGGUGGGGUUUUUUUGCCUUUUAUUUCUUUAUUCAUUGAGGGAUGACACAUAACUUAUUCCAGGAGGAUAAUCUGAGCAAGGACAACAGACUGUUGGUAAUCAAGUAAACAUUUUGGAGGAAGAAUGACUCUGUGUUCAAGAACAUGUUGGGAUAUUUCUUCCCUUCAGCCCUGCAUUACAGCUCGGACUGGACUGUGGGUCAGGACCUCCACCUGCUUUUUGCUUGUGCUCUUUACAAAGAAAGCUGAGCCAGAACAAGGAGAGGGCAAGGGAUGGGACCACUGUCUGGGCACUCAACUGUUGAUCAGCAUCUGUACUGCUGUAAAUAUUCGGGGGAUGUUGCUUUGACCUUUGGGAUGGUUGGUGCCUACACUGUCACACCGCAAGACACAAA